UUUUUUUUUUUAAUUUCAACAUACUGUCCCUAGUGGUUUUGAAGUUCCAGAAACGCCUACCUUUCAAAAUCCAGAUCAUUUAAAUGUUUAGACUUUAUUGAGCCAUUAAUGAGAAGACAGAAGAUGAGUAAAGACUUGGCACUACAUCUGAAAUGAACAAAUGUCUUGCUAUUCUGUUCCAUAGCACUGCAUUCUGCAGAUUUCAGAUUUUUUCUUUUAGAAGAAACGUCAGCGUCCCUUCUCCAACAUCCAGCACAGGGCACAGAUAAGCAGCAGCAUGGAAUCCUUCAGCAUUUCACCGAGGCACAGAAGUGGUGUGCUGAGAACAUUUCUGUGUUCAGAGGGCGAAUCUCACUCCCUGCAUUACUGUCAAUGGACAAAGACGACACUGAGGAGGCCCUUCAGAAAUUUGAUUUGCUAUCUGAAUUUCCAGAAGAAGAGGAGAGAGAAUAUGUCUUUAGAUAUAUUUUUUUCACAUAUGGAAGACAUGCAUCUGUUUUUAGAUUAACGUGAGAGGAAAAAGGAAAAUGACUGAGUUUUGUGAGAAAAUGUA